UGAACGCUGGCGGCGUGCUUAACACAUGCAAGUCGAACGGGAAGGUCGUCUUCGGAUGGCUGGAGAAUGGCGCACGGGUGAGUAACACGUAGCUUAUCUGCCCCAAAGAGUGGGAUAACGCACCGAAAGGUGUGCUAAAACCACAUAAGCUCACGGUGAAUAGAUAGCUGUGAGAAAACACUCCGGUGCUUGAGGAUGGGGCUGCGACCCAUCAGCUAGUUGGUAAGGUAAAAGCUUACCAAGGCGACGACGGGUAGGGGACCUGAGAGGGUGACCCCCCACACUGGGACUGAGACACGGCCCAGACUCCUACGGGAGGCAGCAGUGAGGAAUAUUGCUCAAUGGACGAAAGUCUGAAGCAGCGACGCCGCGUGGGUGAAGAAGGUUUUCGGAUCGUAAAGCCCUUUUCUAGGUGACGAGAGAGGACGGUAGCCUAGGAAUAAGUGUCGGCUAACUACGUGCCAGCAGCCGCGGUAAAACGUAGGACGCAAGCGUUAUCCGGAAUUACUGGGCGUAAAGCGCGUGCAGGCGGGUUAACAAGUCAUCUGUGAAAGCUCUCGGCUAAACUGAGAGAGGUCGGAUGAAACUGUUAAUCUUGAGUUUGUCAGAGGUAUGUGGAAUUCCACGUGUAGUGGUGAAAUGCGUAGAUAUGUGGAGGAACACCAGUGGCGAAGGCGGCAUACGGGGGCACAACUGACGCUGAGACGCGAAAGCAUGGGUAGCGAACGGGAUUAGAAACCCCGGUAGUCCAUGCCGUAAACGAUGUACACUAAAUGUUCGCAAGGGCUACGGCGUGUGUGAGUGUCGAAGCAAACGCGAUAAGUACACCGCCUGGGGAGUAUGGUCGCAAGGCUAAAACUCAAAGGAAUUGACGGGGGCCCGCACAAACAGCGGAGCGUGUGGUUUAAUUCGAGGCUACGCGAAAAACCUUACCCGGGUUUGACAUCAUAGUAGUAGAGAAGAGAAAUCGGAUCGACCUUCGGGAGCUAUGACAGGUGCUGCAUGGCUGUCGUCAGCUCGUGUCGUGAGAUGUUCGGUUAAGUCCGAAAACGAGCGCAACCCCUAUCGUUAGUUAUAAGUGUCUAGCGAGACUGCCUUCGGCAAGGAGGAGGAAGGUGGGGAUGACGUCAAGUCAGCAUGGCCUUUAUAUCUAGGGCUACACACACGCUACAAUGGCGCGUACAAUAGGUCGCGAAACCGCGAGGUGGAGCCAAUCCUCUAAAGCGCGUCGUAGUUCGGAUUGUAGGCUGCAACUCGCCUGCAUGAAGUCGGAGUUGCUAGUAACCGCAAAUCAGCACGUUGCGGUGAAUACGUUCCCGGGCCUUGUACACACCGCCCGUCACGUCACGGGAGUUGGUCACGCCUGAAGUCGGGAAGCAAACCGCAAGGAGGGCUACCGCCGAAGGGGGGGCUGGU
rnacentral:rRNA from 1 species